rnacentral:lncRNA from 1 species
AUUUAUCAGUUGCAUGCUAGUCAAUGAGACAAACCUCGCCGGAAAAUCCCACCCCGGUCACCAGAAGGGCAUUUUCGGGACAGUACAAAUUAAAGAGAGAAGAUGAAAAAAACAACAAAAUCUGGCUCAAACAAAAGCUCGACAGAAGAGAGAUAUCAAGAUAAACAAACACCGUCAUCGUAUCAUAUGAGCUACAAUCUAAUUAAUAGCGUAAUUAAGUAUGUUAAUCUCUUUCAUUACUUGUAAAGCUAAUCACACUUUCAAAGCCCAUCUGAAAAACCACCUUUGAAGAACAUCAAGAAACUAUAUAUAUAUAUAUAUAUAUAUAUAGCUUAUAAACGGAGGGUAAGGUCAACAUUUGCUGUGACGACAUUAGGAUCAUCAUCGGUUGCUGAAAGAUCAUUACCAUAACCAAUAUCAUGUUCAAGAGAAGUAGUAGCUGCAGACCCACCAUAAAGCAUAC